UACGUAGGUCCCGAGCGUUGUCCGGAUUUAUUGGGCGUAAAGCGAGCGCAGGUGGUUUAUUAAGUCUGGUGUAAAAGGCAGUGGCUCAACCACUGUAUGCAUUGGAAACUGGUAGACUUGAGUGCAGGAGAGGAGAGUGGAAUUCCAUGUGUAGCGGUGAAAUGCGUAGAUAUAUGGAGGAGCACCGGUGGCGAAAGCGGCUCUCUGGCCUGUAACUGACACUGAGGCUCGAAAGCGUGGGGAGCAAACAGG
rnacentral:rRNA from 1 species